AGCCGCCGCGCGGCGGCUGGGGGUGACCGCCGCGAGGCGGCGCGCGGGCGGCGGCGGCCGUUACAGCCGUGAGGGAGGGGCGGCGCCAGCGGAGCCCGGCACUCCCUGUCCUCUGGACUGCAGGUCAGCUAUAGCACAGCACACUUCCAGAUCUAGGCAGUUGGCUAUUCCCUGGAAGAUUUGGUUUCAAGAAAAGAGAAAAAUCUUUAGCUGAAAGAGAACUGUGUUGAAACUAUGAGGCUAAAAAAGUGCUGAACAAUGAAGUGCUAAGCAAAAUCCUGGAGACCGGAAGAUUUUGAGGGCAACUUUGGUCUGUUGAUCUGGGUGUAAGUUACUGAAGUACGUUAUAUUCUUGUGAAUCCCACAUGACCUUGCGCAAGCCAUGAAACCGUAGCAUGCCAUUAUUCAACAAAGCACUCAAGCUUUUUGCUGGGACUCGUACGUGGACUUAAAUGUUAAGAUCUUACAACUCCCUACAUAGAACAAGAACAAUGUAAAAUGGUUUAAUGUAGGGGCUCAGUGUUUUGCCCCAUGACCUAGCAGUGAGACAAAAAGCACUACUGUACAAAGGAAAUGUGGAAUAGCUUGGAAAUUGUUUCAGUGAGAAUGUCAGAGAAGCUGUCGAAGAAACAAUGAGAUGAAGAAUUGCCAAAUUGGAAUAUAAGACAAAAAGUUACGUUUUAUCUAAUAUUCCUUAGAAGGCUAACUGCUGCCUAACACAUAGGCUGGACUCCAGACGUGAAAGGGUUUUGCUACCUCUUCUUCCUAACAGGAGGAGACGUAACGGUCCCAGAUAUAACAGCCAGGGAACUGAGCACACCAUGCAAAGGCUGUAACUAUCCCUCACCUUCCUUCUUGAAGGGGAGAAGCCCUCGUGUACAUGGGAAGGGCUGCUGGUGUCUGGUAUUUAAAACAGGGAUCAGGUGGAACCCAAUGACAUCCCCAAACCUGUUUUUCUUUCGCUCUCAUGUAAUGGCACUUGGGUUGGCAAAUUCAGUCUUUUUAUUUGUUGUGUUAAAAAAAAGCCAAUGGAACAAUCUUAUUUUAUCAGCUUUCUUCUGUCAUCUUAUUCUUUGUGGUCUCCACUGAAUCAAAAGGGUCCCCAGUAAGGCGAGUUUUGCUCAGAUUAAAGGGGGAUUUGACUGCAAGCCUGAUUUAUGAUAAUUAAAGGAAAAACAAGUUGGACAGGAUGCUGAAGAGAAAAUUGAGGCCUGGUAAUACAUGCAAACAGGGAGAAGCUGUAGUUGUUGUUAAUCUUCUUAGCGCUUUGUUUUCCAGCAGCAAAAGCUGUUGUUUUGUCUCCUCCAAACAGGAACUAAUAAUGAUCUACUGGAUGGACUAAUAGGAAGAAUGUCUUGCUUUUGUUGAAGGAUUUUUUUUCUUUCCUAAAAAGGAAGGUCUUUUUGGAAACAUUUUGCAUCUCGUUUCCCCCUUUCCUCUCAGAUAUAUGAAGUGCCCUGUUUGGAAUGCUGCUUAGUAUCCAGGGUGCUCGGUUGCUCCACCUGUUUUGAAGACAGGUAGAAUAGCAUGCUCAAAAUGUAAAAAUGACUGGUCACAGGCAAGCAAAGUGAAAAACUGACAUUGAUGCACAAGCAAGCCACACUGACCUUUAAA